GGAGGUAGUGACAAUAAAUCACAAUGCGGAACUUUUGUUUUGCAAUUGGAUUGAGAACAACGCACAACACUUAUCGAUAAACAAUUGGAGGGCAAGUCUGGUGCCAGCAGCCGCGGUAAUUCCAGCUCCAAUAGCGUAUAUUAACGUUGUUGCAGUUAAAAAGCUCGUAGUUGAAGUGAAGUAAUGAAGUUGUGACUUGAUUUAUCAUUUCGCUUCUUAAUUACUCUUUCCAAAUUGUUUGCACGGGUAUUCAUUUACUUGUGUAUUGCAUUUGGUCAUUUACUGUGAGAAAAUUAGAGUGUUCAAAGCAUACGUUUGUUUGAAUACAUUAGCAUGGAAUAAUUCGAAAAGGCUUUCAUGUUCGAUUUGAUUGGUUUGUUCGUGAGAGCAAGAUUAAAAGGGACAGUUGGGGGUAUUCAUAUUCAAUAGUCAGAGGUGAAAUUCUCGGAUUUAUGGAAGAUGAACAAGUGCGAAAGCA
rnacentral:rRNA from 1 species